CCUACGGGAGGCAGCAGUGAGGAAUAUUGGUCAAUGGACGAGAGUCUGAACCAGCCAAGUAGCGUGAAGGAUGACUGCCCUCUGGGUUGUAAACUUCUUUUAUAUGGGAAUAAAACGUUCCACGUGUGGGAUUUUGUAUGUACCAUAUGAAUAAGGAUCGGCUAACUCCGUGCCAGCAGCCGCGGUAAUACGGAGGGUCCGAGCGUUAUCCGGAUUUAUUGGGUUUAAAGGGAGCGUAGGUGGAUUGUUAAGUCAGUUGUGAAAGUUUGCGGCUCAACCGUAAAAUUGCAGUUGAAACUGGCAGUCUUGAGUACAGUAGAGGUGGGCGGAAUUCGUGGUGUAGCGGUGAAAUGCUUAGAUAUCACGAAGAACUCCGAUUGCGAAGGCAGUUCACUGGACUGCAACUGACACUGAGGCUCGAAAGUGUGGGUAUCAAACAGGAUUAGAUACCCGUGUAGUC
rnacentral:rRNA from 1 species